rnacentral:rRNA from 1 species
CAAUAGCGUAUAUUAAAGUUGUUGCAGUUAAAAAGCUCGUAGUUGGAUUUCUGGUAGGAGCGACCGUGCCGAACUUGAUUGUUCGAGUAUUGUGUUGUCUUCAGCCAUCCUCGUGGAGAACUUUUCUAACAUUAACUUGUUGGGAUUGGGACCCGCGUCGUUUACUGUGAAAAAAUUAGAGUGUUUAAAGCAGGCAUUAGCUUGAAUACAUUAGCAUGGAAUAAUAAGAUAGGACUUUGGUACUAUUUUGUUGGUUUGCAUACCAAAUUAAUGAUCAACAGGAACAGUUUGAGGAUAUUCGUAUGAACAUGUCAGAGGUGAAAUUCUUGGAUUUUGAUCAGACGAACUACUGCGAAAGCAUUUAUCAAGGAUGUUCUCAUUAA